rnacentral:rRNA from 1 species
GGGUUGUGAGGUUAAGCGACUAAGCGUACACGGUGGAUGCCCUGGCAGUCAGAGGCGAUGAAGGACGUGCUAAUCUGCGAAAAGCGCCGGCGAGGUGAUAUGAACCUUUGACCCGGCGAUGUCCGAAUGGGGAAACCCAGUGCAAUUCGUUGCACUAUCGUUAACUGAAUACAUAGGUUAACGAGGCGAACCGGGGGAACUGAAACAUCUAAGUACCCCGAGGAAAAGAAAUCAACCGAGAUUCCCCCAGUAGCGGCGAGCGAACGGGGAGCAGCCCAGAGUCUGAAUCAGCUUGUGUGUUAGUGGAAGCGUCUGGAAAGUCGCACGGUACAGGGUGACAGUCCCGUACACGAAAGCACACAGGCUGUGAACUCGAAGAGUAGGGCGGGACACGUGGUAUCCUGUCUGAAUAUGGGGGGACCAUCCUCCAAGGCUAAAUACUCCUGACUGACCGAUAGUGAACCAGUACCGUGAGGGAAAGGCGAAAAGAACCCCGGCGAGGGGAGUGAAAAAGAACCUGAAACCGUGUACGUACAAGCAGUGGGAGCACCUUCGUGGUGUGACUGCGUACCUUUUGUAUAAUGGGUCAGCGACUUAUAUUCUGUAGCAAGGUUAACCGUAUAGGGGAGCCGAAGGGAAACCGAGUCUUAACUGGGCGUUAAGUUGCAGGGUAUAGACCCGAAACCCGGUGAUCUAGCCAUGGGCAGGUUGAAGGUUGGGUAACACUAACUGGAGGACCGAACCGACUAAUGUUGAAAAAUUAGCGGAUGACUUGUGGCUGGGGGUGAAAGGCCAAUCAAACCGGGAGAUAGCUGGUUCUCCCCGAAAGCUAUUUAGGUAGCGCCUCGUGAACUCAUCUUCGGGGGUAGAGCACUGUUUCGGCUAGGGGGCCAUCCCGGCUUACCAACCCGAUGCAAACUACGAAUACCGAAGAAUGUUAUCACGGGAGACACACGGCGGGUGCUAACGUCCGUCGUGAAGAGGGAAACAACCCAGACCGCCAGCUAAGGUCCCAAAGUCAUGGUUAAGUGGGAAACGAUGUGGGAAGGCACAGACAGCCAGGAUGUUGGCUUAGAAGCAGCCAUCAUUUAAAGAAAGCGUAAUAGCUCACUGGUCGAGUCGGCCUGCGCGGAAGAUGUAACGGGGCUAAACCAUGCACCGAAGCUGCGGCAGCGACACUAUGUGUUGUUGGGUAGGGGAGCGUUCUGUAAGCCGUUGAAGGUGUGCUGUGAGGCAUGCUGGAGGUAUCAGAAGUGCGAAUGCUGACAUAAGUAACGAUAAAGCGGGUGAAAAGCCCGCUCGCCGGAAGACCAAGGGUUCCUGUCCAACGUUAAUCGGGGCAGGGUGAGUCGACCCCUAAGGCGAGGCCGAAAGGCGUAGUCGAUGGGAAACAGGUUAAUAUUCCUGUACUUGGUGUUACUGCGAAGGGGGGACGGAGAAGGCUAUGUUAGCCGGGCGACGGUUGUCCCGGUUUAAGCAUGUAGGCGGAGGUUCCAGGUAAAUCCGGUACCUUUUAACGCUGAGGUGUGAUGACGAGGCACUACGGUGCUGAAGUAACAAAUGCCCUGCUUCCAGGAAAAGCCUCUAAGCAUCAGGUAACACGAAAUCGUACCCCAAACCGACACAGGUGGUCAGGUAGAGAAUACCAAGGCGCUUGAGAGAACUCGGGUGAAGGAACUAGGCAAAAUGGUGCCGUAACUUCGGGAGAAGGCACGCUGAUAUGUAGGUGAAGCCCCUGCGGGUGGAGCUGAAAUCAGUCGAAGAUACCAGCUGGCUGCAACUGUUUAUUAAAAACACAGCACUGUGCAAACACGAAAGUGGACGUAUACGGUGUGACGCCUGCCCGGUGCCGGAAGGUUAAUUGAUGGGGUUAGCGGCAACGCGAAGCUCUUGAUCGAAGCCCCGGUAAACGGCGGCCGUAACUAUAACGGUCCUAAGGUAGCGAAAUUCCUUGUCGGGUAAGUUCCGACCUGCACGAAUGGCGUAAUGAUGGCCAGGCUGUCUCCACCCGAGACUCAGUGAAAUUGAACUCGCUGUGAAGAUGCAGUGUACCCGCGGCAAGACGGAAAGACCCCGUGAACCUUUACUAUAGCUUGACACUGAACACUGGUCCUUGAUGUGUAGGAUAGGUGGGAGGCUUUGAAGCGUGGACGCCAGUCUGCGUGGAGCCGUCCUUGAAAUACCACCCUUUAAUGGCUGGUGUUCUAACGUAGACCCGUGAUCCGGGUUGCGGACAGUGUCUGGUGGGUAGUUUGACUGGGGCGGUCUCCUCCCAAAGAGUAACGGAGGAGCACGAAGGUUAGCUAAUCCUGGUCGGACAUCAGGAGGUUAGUGCAAUGGCAUAAGCUAGCUUGACUGCGAGAGUGACGGCUCGAGCAGGUGCGAAAGCAGGUCAUAGUGAUCCGGUGGUUCUGAAUGGAAGGGCCAUCGCUCAACGGAUAAAAGGUACUCCGGGGAUAACAGGCUGAUACCGCCCAAGAGUUCAUAUCGACGGCGGUGUUUGGCACCUCGAUGUCGGCUCAUCACAUCCUGGGGCUGAAGUAGGUCCCAAGGGUAUGGCUGUUCGCCAUUUAAAGUGGUACGCGAGCUGGGUUUAGAACGUCGUGAGACAGUUCGGUCCCUAUCUGCCGUGGGCGCUGGAGAAUUGAGGGGGGCUGCUCCUAGUACGAGAGGACCGGAGUGGACGCAUCACUGGUGUUCGGGUUGUCAUGCCAAUGGCACUGCCCGGUAGCUAAAUGCGGAAAAGAUAAGUGCUGAAAGCAUCUAAGCACGAAACUUGCCCCGAGAUGAGUUCUCCCUGACCCUUUAAGGGUCCUGAAGGAACGUUGAAGACGACGACGUUGAUAGGUCGGGUGUGUAAGCGCAGCGAUGCGUUGAGCUAACCGAUACUAAUGAACCGUGAGGCUUAACCUUACAACGCCGAAGCUGUU